rnacentral:rRNA from 1 species
GUCGGCGUGCACUUCUUUCCUAGUAGGACAUCGCGACCCGUUAGAUGUUGAUUUACGACCAAAUUGGAUUAGACUUUAUAUAUUAAUUUAUUUUAAUAUAUAAAGACCAAUAUGUGUUUUCUAAUCAAGUAUUUGACGGUAAUCGUAUGGUAUUAAGUCGCAUAAUAAUAUAUUUUUGCGUUCUCUACCCGUCGCAAGCGAGGCCUUUUUUAUUAGUUUACAGACUUUGUGCUGUCUAAUAAAAAUUGUGCCAGCUGUUGGCUGUUUACGGUGUUCUAGAACUGACUUAUUUU